rnacentral:rRNA from 1 species
CCUACGGGUGGCAGCAGUAGGGAAUCUUCCACAAUGGGCGAAAGCCUGAUGGAGCAACGCCGCGUGGGUGCAGAAGGCCCUCUGAUCGUAAAACCCUGUUUGUAGAGAAGUAAGUGCGUGAGAGUAACUGUUCACGUUUCGACGGUAUAUAUACAGAUAGGCACGGCCAAUUCCGGGCCAGCAGCUGCGGUAAUACGUAGGAGGAUAGCGUUAUCCUGAUUUAUUUGGCGUAAAGGGAACGGAGGCUGUCUUUUAAGUCUGAUGUGAAAGCCUUCGGCUUAACCGGAGUAGUGCAUUGGAUACUGGUAGACUUGAGUGCAGUAGAGGUAAGUGGAACUCAAUGUGUAGCGGUGAAAUGCGUAGAUAUAUGGCAGAACACCGAUGGCGAAGGCAG